UACGUAGGGACCAAGCGUUGUUCGGAUUUACUGGGCGUAAAGGGCGCGUAGGCGGCGUGUUAAGUCAGUUGUGAAAUCUCCAAGCUUAACUUGGAACGGUCAACUGAUACUGAUGUGCUAGAGUGCAGAAGGGGCAACCGGAAUUCUUGGUGUAGCGGUGAAAUGCGCGGAUAUCAGGAGGAACACCAAUGGCGAAGGCAGCACUCUGGGACGUGACUGACGCUGAGACGCGAAAGCGUGGGGAGCAAACAGG
rnacentral:rRNA from 1 species